UGAGUAACGCGUAGACAACCUGCCUCUAAACUGGGGACAACACCGCGAAAGUGGUGCUAAUACCGAAUGUGGUAACUUGGCCGCAUGGCUGAGUUAAGAAAGAUGGCCUCUUAGCAAUGCUAUCGUUUAGAGAUGGGUCUGCGUCUGAUUAGCUAGUUGGUGAGGUAAAGGCUCACCAAGGCGACGAUCAGUAGCCGGUCUGAGAGGAUGAACGGCCACACUGGGACUGAGACACGGCCCAGACUCCUACGGGAGGCAGCAGUGGGGAAUCUUCCGCAAUGGACGAAAGCCUGACCCAGCGACGCCGCGUGGGGGAAGAAGUCUUUCGGGAUGUAAACCCUUGUUGUACGGGACGAAGGAAGUGACGGUACCGUACGAGGAAGCCCCGGCAAACUACGUGCCAGCAGCCGCGGUAAUACGUAGGGGGCGAGCGUUGUCCGGAAUCACUGGGCGUAAAGCGCACGUAGGCGGGCUGUCAAGUCGGCCGUGAAAGGCAUGGGCUCAACCUGUGCAUGUCGGUCGAUACUGGCGGUCUGGAGU
rnacentral:rRNA from 1 species